ACGGAGCCGCACCUGCUGCAGGUAUAUCAGGAUAUCCUCAGAUGGGUCUCUUUCUGGUCCUCUCCCUGUGUGUCCACAUGGCCGUCACAUUGUCCGCUCCGACCUCUGACCCUCCGACCUCUGACCCUCCGACCUCUGACCCUCCGGGAGACGCCGAGGCACCAGACGGUGAUCAGAUCUCCAAUGAAGCGGAUUCGGAAUACGAGACAAACGCGGACUUGGUCACGGACCGGAUCCCGAAGCAUCCGGGAGGUUUAGUAAUGGCGGGAAGUUGUCUGGCGUGCUUUUUCGGCAUGCUGUCCUUCGCCUGAGAUCUCCGGGAAUGACGCCGA